rnacentral:rRNA from 1 species
GAUGAACGCUGGCGGCGUGCCUAAUACAUGCAAGUCGAGCGAACAGACGAGGAGCUUGCUCCUCUGACGUUAGCGGCGGACGGGUGAGUAACACGUGGAUAACCUACCUAUAAGACUGGGAUAACUUCGGGAAACCGGAGCUAAUACCGGAUAAUAUAUUGAACCGCAUGGUUCAAUAGUGAAAGACGGUUUUGCUGUCACUUAUAGAUGGAUCCGCGCCGCAUUAGCUAGUUGGUAAGGUAACGGCUUACCAAGGCAACGAUGCGUAGCCGACCUGAGAGGGUGAUCGGCCACACUGGAACUGAGACACGGUCCAGACUCCUACGGGAGGCAGCAGUAGGGAAUCUUCCGCAAUGGGCGAAAGCUUGACGGAGCAACGCCGCGUGAGUGAUGAAGGUCUUCGGAUCGUAAAACUCUGUUAUUAGGGAAGAACAAAUGUGUAAGUAACUAUGCACGUCUUGACGGUACCUAAUCAGAAAGCCACGGCUAACUACAUG